rnacentral:rRNA from 1 species
GACGAACGCUGGCGGCGUGCUUAACACAUGCAAGUCGAACGAUGAACCACCUUCGGGUGUGAAUUAGCGGCGAACGGGUGAGGAACACGUGAAGAAUCUGCCUUCAACUCUGGGAUAACUCCGGGAAACCGGGGCUAAUACCGGAUAUGAGCCUUGAUCGCAUGAUCGGGGCUGGAAAGUUUUUCGGUUGAAGAUGACUUCGCGGCCUAUCAGCUUGUUGGUGAGGUAAGGGCUCACCAAGGCGACGACGGGUAGCCGGCCUGAGAGGGCGCCCGGCCACACUGGGACUGAGACACGGCCAAGACUCCUACGGGAGGCAGCAGUGGGGAAUAUUGGGCAAUGGAGGAAACUCUGACCCAGCGACGCCGCGUGAGGGAUGAAGGCCUUCGGGUUGUAAACCUCUUUCAGUAGGGAAGAAGCGAAAGUGACGGUACCUACAGAAGAAGCACCGGCUAACUAUGUGCCAGCCGCCGCGGUAA